CGGGGCGGCAAAACGUCCGCCCGGGCCCGAGGCGGGCGGAGGCAGCUGUGGUUACGUGCGGGGGGCCGGUGACGCAGUCGCGGGGCGCUGGGACGCGGCUUGCGGAGCCGGCCGGCGAGCGCAGGCCCCAGGCUCGGGCGCGGCGGCGGGACAGCACCUACCUUCCCGGCUUCGGGUCCGGGAGUGCGGGGCGCGGAGCCGCCGGAGCGCUGCCUCCCUCCUUCCUCCUCCCCUCGCCCCCGCCCCGCGGCGCGACACACAAUACUCGCCGGAAGCGGAAGCCGCGCCGAGGCUCGUGUCAGUGGAAGCUGGGGUGUCGGCGGGCGGCCGCGGCCGGGUCUAGCGGUGCCUGCGGAAGAAGGAGGAGGAGGGCUGGCGAUGAGAAGCAGCAGGGGGAAUCAAGGGCAAGAAGGGACCCAGAGGGGCAGGUGGCUGAGAUGCUGGCGUCCAGGUGACCCGAGGAAUCCUCUGGAGAUACAGGCCCGCGCAUGCGCGUGCUCGAGCGCUGAAGCCCAUUGCCCGCAGGGCGCUGGACUGGCGCCCCGGCCGGCGAGGCUGUCUAGUCCAGGCUCCAGGCCCCGGCUCUGGCCAGGCGCCGCCGCCUCCCGGUGCAGCUGAAAGUCGACGAAGAGGGCGGGGCGGGGGCGGCUUGUGGACUUCCACACUUUUCCUCUCUUCGGGCCAGUCUGGGGAGAGGGUGGCUAGCUGUGGCGGCGGCCAAUUACGUGGCGGACCUGCGGGGCUAAGCUGGCACGUCACUUCCGACUAGUGGAGUUUUUAGCCUUUUAACAUUCAAGGAUUAGAGCUCCCUCUUUGCCCACUAGCAGGGCAUUAGCUGGUGCUGAAGACAGUGGCUGCUUGGCGAGCCUGGAUCUCCAAGUGACCCCCUCAGCAACUCCUGAUGAACAGGACUGAAGCCAAUAUUAAAGCAAGUCAACCAAAGGUUCUCUGGUGUAGACAAGACAGCAAAAGGACAGACUACCUUGUGGAACCUAGCAUUGUUCUCCUUCUGCAGCACUAAGUAACAUUUGUUCUCCGUUAAGAUCUUUGCAAACCACACACAAGAAUUGCUGGUCAUCCUGCCAAUAGAUGCUGCUCACAGAACCAAAUUUCCUGUGCUGAAUUGUCACUCAUGGGCUUGAGAGUAGGAGACUGGAGACCAAGGUGGCUAGAAUCCAGUUGGGCCUGAUGUCUCCCUGUUGAAAGGGCUCCUUGUGGAAUGAAUAGCACAUGGCUCCUGUGGUGGAUCUGAUAGUGGCAUAGCACCAAGUGAUGCAGGCCUGCCAGGGGCCACAGACACAGAAGAUGCUCCCGGGGUCCCCCAUGUACUCCAGACACACUGCAGGCCACCUCUCCCAGCAGGUUGCCAGUCAUGGGCCCCAUCAUCAUGACUUCUGUCCAAGGUGUGCUCGGAAAUCUCUUCCUUAACUGUGACUUUCUGACAGGUGGAGGAUGUGGUCAGGAGUGGGAAAAGGAUUCGAGACGGGAAGAGGGAGGGGUUCAGGAUGAAGAGAGAUAAUCUGUGCCACAGAUGCUGGCCCUGCAGUUAGCUCCCACCUAGUCCGUGCACACACAUUCUAAUCCCCUCCCAUUCCUUUACAUGCUGCGGCCAGAGAGGCCUUUCUCAAAGUGGAAGUCUCAUCCUCACUUCUCUGGUUACAGUGCUGGGCCAUGGUAACUUACAAGGCUUAGCAGGAACUGUCUGCGCACUCCCCCUUCCUGCCCACUACCUUGUUUCCCUCCAGUUGCGAGAGAAAACAUUGAUUGAGCAUUAACUAUGUGCCAGGCUUGUCCUAAGUCCUUUGCAUGUAUUCACUCAAACAAUCCUCACAACAUUCCUAUCACAUCUCCCAUUUCACAGUGAGGGUUCUAAAGCACGUAGUGGGUGAGGAACUUGUCCAGGGUCACACAACUAAGUGGGGGUGGAGAAACAUCAAAUCUAGGUGGUCCAGGUGGUGGCCAGAACCCAUCAGCACCUCACUACAGCUGCCUCCAGUUUCUCGCUCUAGGAAAUACUCUUCCCUGUCAACUCCUGUUGUCCUCUGGGCUCAGUUGACAUGUCAUCUCCUUGAGGAGGACAUCCUGAGAUGCUCCCCGACUAGGGUGGGCACCCACUUCCACACUCCAAAUGCCUAUUUGACCUGUGUAUCGCUGCAUCCCCACUGCCUGGCAGAUAGCAGGCCCCUAAUAAAUAUGAUUUGAGCAAAUAAAUAUAGUUCUUCAAAAAAUAGGGAGGACUUCUUGCUUCAGGUAAUGGUAGGCUAGGACAUUUGGACCAACCCUCCUGCAGAAAAUAGCCAUUUAUUUUGAUGCAAUAUAUCUGGCUAUGACUAGAGAUUUCAAAUAUUUGGAGGGCUAUUAUGUGAAGAACUAAACUUACUCUUUGUGACAUAGAGGUCAGAAAUUGGUCGUUUCCAUAGAGUAUGAGAGAGACAGAAUUGUGCUCAUCAUAAGUAUCUUUUUUAAAAGUUAGACUUAAUAAAAUGGGCUGCCUUGGUAGGUGGUGAGUUCUCUGUCACGAAAGAGAUUCAGCCACUUGCUCUGAGAAAGCAUGGAGAAUAUCAACAUUGUAAGGGUCGACCACCUCAUCUCUGAGGCCCCCUCCUCACUUAGGUUGCCAUUGCAGGUGGAACACUGGGCUGAGUGUCAAAGAACCUGGGUUCCACAAGCUGUGCGACCAUGGCUGGUUGUUUUGGAUCUCAUUCCUAAUAUCUGUUAGUUAAGCUGACCCGUCAAUACUGACCCACUUCACAGAGUUAUGAAGGGAUUAAAUUAGGUAUUACAUGUAAAUCUGUUUUGUUUGCUUUUUGUUGUUCUUUUUUGUUUUGCUUUUUUCUUUGCAUUAUGAAAUCCCAAGUCAACUUUUUCCAUUCUUUUAUUUUUUUAAAAAUUGACAUCAUCAUUAUAACCACAAAAUAAUUUUUAAAAUGGAAAAAAAAAACUCACCUGCAACCCCACAAUCUAAUACAAUAAUCAUACUUUUUUCCCUUUAUUCUCCUUUAUUGUGACCAAGGAUGACUUUGGGCAUUGCUGUGAGGAACUAUUUCGUUUAACACCCUACUACCUGAACAUGAUGCGUACUCAGCCUUUCACCACCCCCCAAGUAGCUACACAUGAUGUGAUAAUAGUAUUGGUGGUGGUUUUAGAGAGUUGGAGAGAAAACUGAAGUUGGAUUUGGGUAAAAGAAAAAAGAGUGGGAAUUAUUUUUUCUCCAUUCUAAAGCCCAUAAAGCAAUGUUAAUUGUUCCCACCCCUCUGCUAUUCUGUCUCCUCAGGUACUGUGUGCAGAAAUGUGAUUGAGAUUCAAGUCAGGGCCUCUCUGCCCUUUUCCCUCCAGAAACAAAACCAAGAUAAUUUAUCCUGAACACGGUGAAAAAAGGAAGGGAGGGAGGAGAAAAAGUCCGGGUCUCACCUGGGAUUCUCUGUCUCCUGCAACAUGAAGGAUUUAGCCUGGGAGGAGGUGGUGAGAACUCUGGGAGAGAAAAAAGAAGGAAAGAAUAGUUUUACCCAUGCUGAAGUUAAUUUAAACCUUCACCUAGAGAAGCAAAAAAAAAAAACCCACACUUUCCCAUUUUGUGCCUCCCUUCCUAGAGUUUUAGCCAAAGGUUUAGCUAAGUAAUUGGUUUUACCAGCGCACUCACUCCUCCUAUCCCAAGUCUGUUUGACUCCCUCCCCAUCAUCCUCCUCACCUCUUUUCAGGCAGGGUGGGGAUAGCAGCAGGAGGAGAUUUUGGGAGCCUGGCAACUCCUGCAAGGACCGCAGGACAGCCCCUCUGUGGGGAUGCGUGGUGCCCCAUCUGCCGCCCUUCUGAAGAAUGCACUGCCUUCACUUUUUACUGUGUUAGAGUCCAUCCAGACUGUUCUAUCCAAAAAAGUUUCUUUUUCCCCCACAGGCAAUCAGGAAAUGAUUCCUUUCCCGACUGCUUCUGUCUAGUGCCUGGGAAUCUUGAGUCAAUCCCUCAGUAAGUCAGUGACUAGGGAAAUCCCUCUCUGAGCCUCCCAGUUCAUGUUGCUUAGGGAACCUGAUAUUUUCGUGAAACCUGCCUACACAUGGGCAGCCCAACAGCAGAACAAAUGGUGGUGACCAAAGUGAACAAAGAAGUAUAGUUGUGCCAGCUUCGUAGUUGCCCAUGUGGACAAGUCAGCAGGAUCAGGACACGAGGAAGAGUAAAUGUGAGACAGUCAAUGUGACUUCUGCGAUAAACAGAUUUUUAAACCCCGAAAUUUUGCAAAAUUUUGGUGAAACCUGAACUUUCUUCGUUGCAUAUACUGGCACUAUCUGUACCAUCAUACAACUGUCUCACAUUAAAGCUAUUUUUCUUGGGCACUGAUGAGUAAGGUUGGUAUAAGUUCCUCAGAUCAACAAAAACCCAUUUUCCUGUAAGUCUUACAUUUAGUAUUUAAGGAACUAAAACUUAAAUACAUUUUGUGAAAUGGUUGACACUUCACUGAUAAUGAUUUAUUGCUUGGAUUAAUAAAUUUUCCAAAAGUUGUCUUAUGUAGAAUAUGGUUUGCAACCAGCAGAACCAUUAAUCUAUACUGCAAUGAUAUGCACUAUGUAUAAUUGUUUAAAAGCCUCUACUUAAUGAUGUAAAAUGCUCUAUUUAAUUACACAUUUGGGUAAACUGUAUACUAACAUCUGAUGGCAUUUUUCCACUGUUUGUUGCUUUUUUCAAAUACUUUAUUGUACAAAGCUGUUCUUAAUAUUUUUCAAGUUUUUUUCUUUGAAUUUUGCUAAUGUUUUCCUUGAAUUAUGAGCACUGACAGAAUGUGCUUAGCACUUUUGGCUAUUCACACAGCUUUUGAGCAUGAUUUGCAUCCAAUAUUUACAUUGCUAGCAAUAAUAAGCCAUCUGUGAGUUUUGUCAAAAGUUAUUGGGGAUUUUUUAAAUUUUAGAAAUGCAAAUUAUUGUUUCUUUGAACUAACUCUUAUGCAGUUGCAAAGGCAUUUCCAGUUGUUAUAGUUUGUGUACAAUAUCAGGUGUUCCAGAUUAUGAUUCAUUAUUAAUAUCAUUGCUUCCUUGUUCCCUCUGAGGUCCAGAAGAUUCAUGUUUACAAUAUUUAGAAACAAUGUUAAAAAGGUAUCCAAAGUUUGUCACUUUAUUAUUAGUUUGUUCUUAAUAUUCUGUUUAAGUUUUUGAAUUCAUAGAUAUCAAAACGCUGCACAAUUAUGAUUUCCACAGGAAUAACAACACACUAACAAUAAGAACCAAAAACAGCAAAUAGGCUGCCUACAAGUUUUGACAAUAUUAGGAUAAUGAUAAUGACAGUUUUUCUAAAUCUCACAGUAAAGAAUGCAGCAACCCAGCAACACUGCUACCUGUGGCCUCAGGCUGCAGUGUCAGCUCUUCCCUGGGUCUCCAGCCUGCCAGUCUAACCUGAAAAUUAUGUACUUGCCAGCCCCCACAGUCACGUGAGUGAACUGGCCCAGGCUGGUCACCAGGGUCAGUUUCUCUGUGUGUCAUUAAUUCAUUCAGUCUUCAGCAGUCUCUUUGGAGCUGAGAUGUACCUACCAUCUGCCUUUUGGGUGCUUAGGGUGGAGAACCAGAAAAGUAUAACCUAGUGUGUAUCCUCAAAGAGCUAACAAUAUGGGGUGGUACCUAUAGGUCUGGAAACACUUUACUGACUCUGUGAGGCAUACCAGGAGACGUCAGAGAACAGUCCCUCCUCAAAUGCCAAAUGAGAUGCAGAAGAAAUAGUUUGCUCAAGUUCAUGGGCCAGAUAUCCCAGUGGUCAGGGAGUUUCAUGAAUGAGAUGGAACUUUGCAUGGAACCCGAGGGAUGUGUAUGAUUUGAGUAGAUGAAGAAAAUGAGACUUUCCAAGCAGCUAGAAGUUAGGGAGCAGCAAGAUGUGUGGUGGGAUUGAGCACAGUUGGUUCAGAGGAUAGACUGCAGUUUUAAUAAUUUGUAGUAAAUAUCUCCCAACUGUUUGGCACUAUUGGAGCAAGUUCUUGAAUGCCAAAUGAAGGCAUAAAUCAGUAAGAGGCAUAAUAAAAGGCUGAGCAGUGCUUGGCUUUUUACGAACUGAUCCUGAUAGGAGCAGCUGUUCAACAAAGUUGCCAGGUCACCGUUACAUAGUCCCUGCCUUCUAGGGGCUCACUGCCUACUGGGAGAGACAGUCUGAAAGUUGGUGGAGCAUGUAACUGUUGGAUGAGGAGUUUGAGCCUGUGGACUGUGGGACCCCCGAGGAGGGUGUGGCUACUCUAGGCAGAACAAUCCCACAGUUUAUUUAUAUUUAACCUUGAAAUUCAUUAGAGGAUUUUUCAGCAGAGGUUUGGUACUUGUUAAUGUUAAGGUUUGCAUUCUCUAGAACCUCAAGGAAAGCUGUACCGUGCAUAAUGUACCCUCUUAUGUUAAUGUUGUGUACUGUGAUCCUGUUUCAGGGACUUGCACUUAGGAAUCUGUUACAGUGAGCACAGAAGCAGACCUGUGGGCUCAUAGUCUUCACCCCCCACCCAUAUAUACAAGAUGAACAGAGUGGAGGUUAAACAACUUGACUAAACAACACAGUUCAUGGUAAAGCCCAAGACUGUACCUGCCCAUCCACUGCCUUUUCCAUGUAUCCUGGAACUGAGCAUAGACCUCUUCCCAGGCAGAGCUGACAGCAAGUAAAGGAGAUCAUAAUCAGGGGACCAAACAACUUUGUCUAAAGUGUGAAUGUCACCUAAGGAGAAGCUGUGAGAUCAGAAGGGUGGGGCAGAGGAGCAGACACCAUGAGGGAGAGUCCUUGGGGGUACAUCUGCCAGACUGACACUGUCUGGCCUGGGCAGUGGAGGGGCUAGCAGGAACCACAGGUACUGGUGGUGUGGCUACUACCGUUACAACUGCCUGUGCUUGGACAUGGACCCUCUGCAAUAUGCGGCAGUUUCAUUCAUUGCCCCCUACAUUCUACACCAAGUAGAAAUGGAAGGCAAUUGGAUACUUCACAGACAAGAUCUAAGUGGAGAAGGAAUGCGUCCUGUGGCUGCAGAGAUCCUUGGAGCUUGGAGGGGAGAGCUUGAGCCCCACUGAUGAUGACCUCCCACAGCUCGCCAACUCAGCCCUCCCUAAGUCCCCAUCGGGGGCCAAUUCUCACUCUGGGGUUGGGGGGACUCCACCAUAGCUCAUCCAUCAUAGGGAUGUUGGUAUCUACUGUGGGUUGGGUAGGGCCGAUGUGCUGAGGAUGGCUCCCCCACAAGCAAGAGAUGUGGAUUUGGGGAGCUUCCCAUCUUGUGUUGAAGGAACAUAACUCAGAAUAAUAAGAGCCAACUAUAACAAACCCACAGCCAACAUCAUACUGAAUGGGCAAAAGCUGCAGGCAUUCCCCUUGAAAAGUGGCACAGGAUAAGGAAGCCCUUUCUCACCACUCCUAUUCAAUAUAGUGUUGAAAGUCCUGAUCACAGCAGUCAGGCAACAGAAAUAAUAAAGGGCAUCCAAAUAGGAAGAGAGGAAGUCAAACUAUCCUUGUUUGCAGACAGUAUGAUUCUAUAUCUAGAAAACCCCAUAGCCUCAGCCCAAAAGGUCCUUCAUCUGAUAAUUUCAGCAAAGUUUCAGGAGACAAAAUCAGUGUACAAAAAUCACUAACAUUCCUAUACACAGUCGCCAAGCCAAGAGCCAAAUCAGGAGCACAAUCCCAUUCAUAAUUGCCACAAAAAAGAAUAAAAUACCCAGGAAUGCAGCUAACCAAGGAAGUAAAGGAUCUCUACAAUGAGAAUCACAAACGCUGCUCAAAGAAAUCAGAGAUGACACAAACAAAUGGAAAAACUUUCCAUGCUCAUGGCUAGGAAGAAUCAAUAUCAUUAAAGUGGCCAUACUACCCAAAGCAAUUUAUAGAUUCAAUGCUAUUCCUAUCAAACUAUCAAUUACAUUUUUCACAGAACUAGAAAAAACUUAAAAUUCAUAUGGAACCAAAAAGCCUGAGUAGUCAAGGCAAUCCUAAACAAAAAGAACAAAGGUGGAGGCAUCACAUUACCUAACUUCAAACUACAGGGCUACCAUGACCAAAACAGCAUGGUACUGGUACAAAAGCAGACACACAGACCAGUGGGACAGAAUAGAGAGCCCAAAAAUAAGGCCACAAACCUACAGCCAUCUGAUCUUCAACAAAGUUGACAAAAACAAGCAAUGGGGAAAGGUCUCCCUAUUCAAUAAAUGGUGCUGGGAUAACUGGCUGGCCAUAUGCAGAAGAUCGUAACUGGACCCCUUUUACUAUGUACAAAAAUUAAGAUGGUUUAAAGAGUUAAAACCCAAAAUUAUAAAAAUCCUGAAGAUAACUUAGGCAAUACCAUUCUGGACAUAGGAACUGGCAAAUAUUUCAUGAUGAAGACACCAAAAGCAAUUGUAACAAAAGCAAAAAUGGACAAAUUGGAUUUAAGAGCUUUUUCAUAGCAAAAUAAACAACAGGGCAGACAAUCUACCAAAUGACAGAAAAUUUUUGCAAACUAUGCAUCUGACAAGGGGCUAAUAUCUAGCAUCUAUAAGGAAUUUAAACACAGUUACAGG
rnacentral:lncRNA from 1 species